CAUGUAGUUAGCCGGGGCUUCUUACUCAGGUACCGUCUGCUGACCGUAAGGUCAGUAUUUCUUCCCUGCUGAUAGAGCUUUACGUAACGAAUUACUUCUUCACUCACGCGGCGUCGCUGCAUCAGGGUUUCCCCCAUUGUGCAAUAUUCCCCACUGCUGCCUCCCGUAGGAGUCUGGGCCGUGUCUCAGUCCCAAUGUGGCCGUCCGCCCUCUCAGGCCGGCUACUGAUCGUCGCCUUGGUGGGCCGUUACCCCGCCAACAAGCUAAUCAGACGCGGGUCCAUCUUACACCACCGGAGUUUUUCACACUGCUUCAUGCAAAGCUGUGCGCUUAUGCGGUUUUAGCACCUAUUUCUAAGUGUUAUCCCCCUGUGUAAGGCAGGUUACCCACGCGUUACUCACCCGUCCGCCACUAACUCAUAUAUCACUAGGUUUCAAUACGAGUCCGUUCGACUUGCAUGUGUUAAGCACGCCGCCAGCGUUCAUCCUGAGCCAGGAUCAAACU
rnacentral:rRNA from 1 species